rnacentral:rRNA from 1 species
ACGCUGGCGGCAGGCCUAACACAUGCAAGUCGAGCGGUAGAGAGAAGCUUGCUUCUCUUGAGAGCGGCGGACGGGUGAGUAAUGCCUAGGAAUCUGCCUGGUAGUGGGGGAUAACGUUCGGAAACGGACGCUAAUACCGCAUACGUCCUACGGGAGAAAGCAGGGGACCUUCGGGCCUUGCGCUAUCAGAUGAGCCUAGGUCGGAUUAGCUAGUUGGUGGGGUAAUGGCUCACCAAGGCGACGAUCCGUAACUGGUCUGAGAGGAUGAUCAGUCACACUGGAACUGAGACGCGGUCCAGACUCCUACGGGAGGCAGCAGAGGGGAAUAUUGGACAAUGGGCGAAAGCCUGAUCCAGCCAUGCCGCGUGUGUGAAGAAGGUCUUCGGAUUGUAAAGCACUUUAAGUUGGGAGGAAGGGUUGUAGAUUAAUACUCUGCAAUUUUGACGUUACCGACAGAAUAAGCACCGGCUAACUCUGUGCCAGCAGCCGCGGUAAUACAGAGGGUGCAAGCGUUAAUCGGAAUUACUGGGCGUAAAGCGCGCGUAGGUGGUUAGUUAAGUUGGAUGUGAAAUCCCCGGGCUCAACCUGGGAACUGCAUUCAAAACUGACUGACUAGAGUAUGGUAGAGGGUGGUGGAAUUUCCUGUGUAGCGGUGAAAUGCGUAGAUAUAGGAAGGAACACCAGUGGCGAAGGCGACCACCUGGACUGAUACUGACACUGAGGUGCGAAAGCGUGGGGAGCAAAC